rnacentral:rRNA from 1 species
GAUGAACGCUAGCGGCAGGCCUAACACAUGCAAGUCGAGGGGUAGCAGGAUUAAGCUUGCUUAAUUGCUGACGACCGGCGCACGGGUGCGUAACGCGUAUGCAACCUACCUUAUACUGGGGUAUAGCCCGGAGAAAUUCGGAUUAAUCCCCCAUAGUACUAAUGAAUCGCAUGGUUUAUUAGUUAAAGCAUUGCGGUAUAAGAUGGGCAUGCGUCCUAUUAGCUAGAUGGUGGGGUAACGGCUCACCAUGGCUACGAUAGGUAGGGGGCCUGAGAGGGUGGUCCCCCACACUGGUACUGAGACACGGACCAGACUCCUACGGGAGGCAGCAGUGAGGAAUAUUGGUCAAUGGGCGCAAGCCUGAACCAGCCAUGCCGCGUGCAGGAAGAAUGCCCUAUGGGUUGUAAACUGCUUUUAUUUGGGAAUAAACCUCUUUACGUGUAGAGGGCUGAAGGUACCAAAUGAAUAAGCACCGGCUAACUCCGUGCCAGCCGCCGCGGUAA